AUGCAAUUGAAACAAGUUCUUGCUAAUGGAAAAAAGGGAGGGUUGAAUGUAGGUGUUGUUCUUAUUUUGCCCGAGGGAUUCGAAUUAGCCCCGCCCGAUCGUAUUUCCCCUGAGUUAAAAGAAAAUAUAGGAAAUCUUGCUUUUCAGAGUUAUCAUCCAGAUAAAAAAACACAUGAAUGGAAUGUCGAUGAGAGAUACGUACUCCCCCAAGAUUAG
rnacentral:rRNA from 1 species